rnacentral:misc_RNA from 1 species
AGAACUAUCUUAAUUCCCUCUUGUUUCUCCCUUCUUUUCAAUUACAACUCUAUCUGGUCAUACCUGUUCGUUUGCUUAUUUCAUGCUCUAGAUCUUCUUUUUGUUAUUCUAACACGCAUUUUUUGUGCUCGAAUGCUCAAUUUGGCUUUGCUGAUAUUUCAAUUAAUUAUAAAAGGAGUACAUUUCUCGCUGCUUAACGUGAAUGCUGUAUAACAAUUU